UACAGAGGGUGCAAGCGAUAUUCGGAAUCACUGGGCGUAAAGCGCAUGUAGGCGGUUUGAUAAGUCUGAUGUGAAAACCCUGGGUACAACUCAGGAAGUGCAUCGGAUACUGUCAGGCUAGAGAGCGGGAGGGGGGAAUGGAAUUCCAGGUGUAGAGGUGAAAUUCGUAGAUAUCUGGAGGAACAACAGUGGCGAAGGCGAUUCCCUGGACCGUUACUGACGUCGAGAGGCGAAAGCGUGUGGAGCAAACAGG
rnacentral:rRNA from 1 species